rnacentral:tRNA from 1 species
GGGGGUAUAGCUCAGUGGUAGAGUGCAUGCCUCAGCAUUCAUGAGAUCCUGGGUUCAAUUCCCAGUACCUCCA